GCUGACUCACAAUAAUCAGUUGAUAUCCAGGCUAGGUAUUGCAUAACACGUUUCGUCACCUAAAUUUAAUUAUGAGCUAAGAUGCUCUUGAAUUUCAACCGAGACUAUUAGUCUAAUGGACUAAUAGUGUCUCUCGUGGGUUGCCGUCAGCCUUUUACUUACCUUUUUUGCCCAUUAGUCUGUCGAUUCAAUGGUCAGCUCGCGGAGCUUAUCAUAGGUUUACUUAAGUUCUGAUGACCAACAAGCUAGAAAUCAGAAGCGACAGACUUCAUGAUAAAGCGAGGAAAAUUUGCAUUCACGCUUCCGAUUUUCUAACGGUGCCGAUAAUUUUUGACGAGUGUUUUUCGAAAUAAAACUGGUUACAUGAACGAAGUUGAUGCAAACGGAUGCCUUAAGAUUUCAAUGAGUUUCAAUCAAUCGAUCUGUGCUGCGAGACGAUGAGCUUUGUCCCCUUAAAAAGCCUCCAAAACAAUUUGCGGGCUGAAGAUCUAAAUGUAUAGACAAAGCUAUAGACAAAGAAGACUAAGAAAAAAUGGAAAGAAGCGGGCGAAGCGAGGAAGCGGGUGAUUGCAAUGGAUAGGCAAGCAGUAGACCAAAUAAACGGUAUAUUACAAGAGCCUCCAUUGUAAGUCCAUUAUAUUAUUCCUGCUCCAUUUUUCAAUUGUUUUCUUUCGUCUAUCAUUGUGUCUAUCAAUUCAGUAAUCCACCCACUGGUCAGUAAGAAGUCGGAUGUUGCGGAUCACAUUUACUGAAUAAUGACGUGGAAAGUGAAACUCAUGAGGCAGAAAAUGCAAUUAAGAAUCAUGAAAAUGAAAAACGGGACGUUGAACAACCGGUUUUCCUCGACUGAUUACGAUUCUCUAAAAGUAGAGAUAAAAUUCCGAUGGAUAUAUUUCUCAAUAAAAAACUGCCAAAGAAAACUGCAGAGAAGUCUUUUUGCGUAAGAGAAUUAGGAAGAUUUCAAUGGUGCAGAGAGAAUAAGAAGACAGUGACUGCCACCUCAAGUGCUUCAUCUUACUCGAGCUCUCAAGGAGAUUCGCGGAAGAAGAUCUCCACUUAGCGUCUACGUAUCAUCUAUGGAUCAUCUACAAAGCAUCUUCGGAACAUCUAUAAGCUGCGUGGAAUCGCUUGCAACAACCGUCGAAGCCUCAGGUAUUUGUUGACUGGUGCCGGGUGCCGCACAAGAGAACGAGUCAAUAAAAGAGGUCGGACAUGCAAUUUUUGGCUAAAACUUCAUAUUGUAAUGUUUCUUUUGGCGCAAAUUCAAUAUUAAGGGUGCUUCUAUGAGCGAAUUUCACGAAAAAACCAAUGCUGCCACUUUUGAACUUUUUUGUUUUAUAUUUUCGAAAAUAUAAGCUUUCAAAGUUUCCAAAUUGUAUCCAACUUCUCCUAUCGAGUCAGCCCAGCUAGUGCCGGUGCGAUAAGUACUUGAUAAGUAUAAUAAGGAUUCCCAACUUUUCUCAAGAGGGUCGUCGGUCGCGCCAUCGCGGAUCAUUGCGCUCCUGCGAUUAGCAACCCCACACGUUUUCAGACUCUUUUUCAGGCGACGACGCGGCAUCGAUAAGCAAUGUUGUUUUUUAUGAGGUCAUCUUUUCGCAGGAUGCUAAAACCGUGACUUUUGACUCUCGACUUUCUUUUUAUCUCGAGUAAACGAUAACCGAAAGCCCUGCCAAGAUGUUCGAGUUAGAGGGAGAGCAAGAAUUUAGAUCCACAAAAAUGAAGGAGAGAACAAUAGCAAUUAACCGCCGACCCCGAUGCGAAAUAAAGGCGUGUCUCAGACUGAUUGUGCCCCCCCUUCCUCUUGGAAUCUUGGCUAAUGCACGUAAGAGAUAAGUUUCCGAUCUGAUUCGGACAUGGCGCACAUUUAUAAUAAAUGGAGGUAAAGUUGAUUCCUCUCUAUUCGCGUGGUGUUUUUCGCAGUGUGUAGUUGCUGGCUCUACAUUGUACUGACGGUAAAUCAGUUCGAUUUUCAACCUACGAUUACUCUUCUCUACUCGCCAAAAACCAUCUGCAAUGGAGUUCAACUUCGAAGGGAAGACCGUUUUAGUCACAGGAGCUGGCCAAGGUACUGUCUCUCAAACUACCAGAAUUAAAAGUCGAUUAUUGAGCGUCAAAGUCAAUUUUUGAAAAUUCUCUCAUACUGUCAUACAUUUUGGCAAGUACUGAGGAUUCAGGAACUUGCUGAAAAGUGAGAUUGACGGCUAUUUAAUAAUUAAAGUGAUAGGUUCGAGUAAAAUUUGAAACAUUCGCUAUCGUAGGAAAAUAAAAUUAUGUUUUAAAUAUACUGAAGCAAAUUAUUGAAGCAUUUUGUUUGGUCCAAUAAAGUUUAAGUCUUGUGCCGGAUUCUAACUUACCGCACUUUUUUGAAAAUAAUAAGUAGAGCAGGGUCAGAUGAGGGUCGGUUAAGUUGUCAAAAAACCGAAGAAAUCUUACUUUUUAGACCAUCGUGAUCUUGAUGUAAGGAUUUAAGUGAUGUUUUUAGUUGAAGUUAAUAAUUAAUGGUUACUUGGUGUUAUAUUGGUUGCCAGAUAUACCGCAUUGGUCCUUGGUGUUAUUUUUAAGAAAAUUUAGAGAGAGGGACAGAGGGAGAGCGGGAGAGAAGGGAAGGGAGAAAAUCGCAGCAUGCUGCUGCAGCACAUUGGUUGUGAAAAAAAUGUGUCAAGUGAUUUCUGAAUGGGGAUUUAGCGAUCUCUGCCUGCCGUUGAGUUUCAGUUCCUUUUCGGAUUUGGAAUUAUCUACAGUGGUGGUUGAUUAAACGUUUCGGGAACAACGGGACACAUUGUUUGAAUUUCAAAUGUUAAUUAAGUAGCUAAUUUUCCGCUUAAAUCGAUAAAAAACAGCAAUACCUAGAGAAAAUAUCAGGCAUGAGGGUUGAAAUACGCUAUUUCAAUUUGCACAACAUAAAUUUUCCGGGAUUUUCGUUACGUGCCUAUCGUCUUUUUGACUAGAUACUACAUGUUUCGCCCUAAAACCUGUUAGGACUGCUUAAACUUAUCGAAAAUACUUGAUUUGCGGGUGUUAUUUAGUAUGAAACAAAAAUGAUGCCCUAAAAGAUGAGUACUCCUAAUAGGUAUUAUUGAGAUAAUAACUGCAUUGAAAGUUAAUGACGCAAAUUUAGGAAAAAAGUUUUUUGUCUAAAUAACCUUAAUUUUCGCUGAGAUGAAUCAAAUUUUACACUCGUUGAAUGAGUUUCUGAUCAAUAUUAACCCUCAAUGAAAUAAAACCAACCUUAGCCACCGACGCCGAAUCAGCCGAAGCGAAUUUUGCUGGCUAUGCUCGACCGGAAGUUACGGAAUAUGACAUCUUCAUUUGACUAUGAGUCGCAAAAGUCCUUCCUCUCUAUUACAAUAAAAUCAUUUUUAAGACACUCGAUGGACGGGGUGAGGAAAGAGAGUACGGCGGUCUAAAGAUCAAAUUCCAAAGAAGGAAUCAAAAUUCGGAGUAAGGAGAAAGUCGUUAAGAAUAACGUUUGGCGGGAAAGUGUUUGAGACAUCGUUUUGUUUCUCAAUCAAAAUUAUUUGCUCACUAACCGCCAACGGGCGAUUUUGACAAUUUCGUUGGCCGCGAAGCGGUCUUUGGGGGCACGUUGCGGCCCCCUUGUUACAUUCUAAACUCAAACCGUGCGCAAGAUGAGCUUCAUUUACAGCAGACUCGAGCCUGCCUUAGGUCCUCAACGAUAAAAAACAUUAAUUAACGAUCGA
rnacentral:lncRNA from 1 species